rnacentral:rRNA from 1 species
GACGAACGCUGGCGGCGUGCUUAACACAUGCAAGUCGAACGAUGAUGCCAGCUUGCUGGUGGAUUAGUGGCGAACGGGUGAGUAACACGUGAGCAACCUGCCCCUGACUUCGGGAUAACCGCGGGAAACCGUGGCUAAUACCGGAUAUGACGCGCUAUCGCAUGGUGGUGUGUGGAAAGAUUUAUCGGUUGGGGAUGGGCUCGCGGCCUAUCAGCUUGUUGGUGGGGUGAUGGCCUACCAAGGCGACGACGGGUAGCCGGCCUGAGAGGGUGACCGGCCACACUGGGACUGAGACACGGCGCAGACUCCUACGGGAGGCAGCAGUGGGGAAUAUUGCACAAUGGGCGCAAGCCUGAUGCAGCGACGCCGCGUGAGGGAUGACGGCCUUCGGGUUGUAAACCUCUUUCAGUAGGGAAGAAGGCCUUCGGGUUGACGGUACCUGCAGAAGAAGCGCCGGCUAACUACGUG